rnacentral:rRNA from 1 species
UAAAGAAAAAAUUAGUAUAAUUUAAAUUAAUUAAUAAAAAUAAUUUUUAAUAAAAUAUUUAUAUGGGGGUUUAAGUAUUUUUUAAAGAAAAAAAUUUUUUAAUUUAUAGUGAAUUAGUAUUGUGAAAGAAUUUUGAAAUAAUUGAAAAUAAAAUUUUUAUUUAAGUAAAUUUUAUUUAUUGUAUCUUGUGUAUCAGAGUUUAUUAAAAAAAUAUUUUAGUUAUAAUUUUUCUCGAAUUUAAAAGAGCUAAUUAAUWAAWAAAUUUAYUGUAGCAAAAKUAUUUUUUAUAKUUAAUUASAAAUKWAAUGUUAAUCGUUUUUAAAUAUAUCUAGUUUUUUUAGAAAAAAAUUUAAUUUUAAAUUAGUUUAAUAAAAAUAUUAAUUAAAAAAUAUUUUUAAAAUAAAAUUUAAUAUGUNNNNNNNNNNNNUUUAAUUUAAAUUAUUAUAAUAUUAUUUAUUUGUUAAUGAAAAUUUUAAAAUUUAUAUUGUUUAAAAAUUAUAAUUUUUUAUAAAUAAUUUCAUUAAAAAUAAAAUUUAAUAAUAAAUUUAAUUUUUUAUAAAAAAAUAAAAUUUAAUAAAAAAUUUUUAGUUAUAAUGAUAAAAUUAGUAUAAAUAUUAUUUAAAUAAAAAUUAAUAAUAUAAAUUUAUUUGUAUAAUUAAUUAUAAGGAAUUCGGCAAAAAUUUAUAUUCACUUGUUUAUCAAAAACAUGUCUUUUUGUUUAAUAAUUUAAGGUCUAAUCUGCCCACUGAUAAAUUAUKAAAGGGCUGCAGUAUUUKGACUGUACAAAGGUAGCAUAAUCAUUAGUCUCUUAAUUGGUGACUUGUAUGAAAGAUUGGAUGAGAUAUAUACUGUCUUAUUUUUAUUAAUAAAACUUAAUUUUUUAGUUAAAAAGCUAAAAUAAAUUUAAAAGACGAGAAGACCCUAUAGAGUUUUAUAUAAAAUAAUAAUUAGAGGUUUUUUUAUUAAUUUUAAAUUAAAAUUAAAUUUUAUAUUUUGUUGGGGUGAUAAAARAAUAGAAUAAACUUUUUUUAAAUUUGUAAUAUAUAUAUAUAUAUAUAUAUAUAUAUAUUAUUAUUAAACUUUUUUUAAAUUUUGUAAUAUAUAUAUAUAUAUAUAUAUAUAUAUAUAAUUUAUAACAUAUAUAAAUGAAUAAUUGAUCCAUAAUUUAUGAUUAAAAGAUUAAAUUACCUUAGGGAUAACAGCGUAAUUUUUUUUUUUAGUUCAYAUAAAAAAAAAAGUUUGCGACCUCGAUGUUGGAUUAAGAUAAAAUUUAGAUGCAAAAGUUUAAAAUUUUGAUCUGUUCGAUCAUUAAAAUCUUACAUGAUCUGAGUUCAAACCGGUGUAAGCCAGGUUGGUUUCUAUCUUUAAAUUAAUAAAAUAUUUUAGUACGAAAGGAUCAAAUAUUUAAAAUAAUUUUAUAAUGUUGAAUAUUAAUAAAUUAAAAUAUAGAUUUAAAUUUAUUA